AUACGUAGGUGACAAGCGUUAUCCGGAUUUACUGGGCGUAAAGGGCGUGUAGGCGGUCUUGCAAGUCAGAAGUGAAAUUCCUGAGCUCAACUCGGGCGCUGCUUCUGAAACCGCAGGACUUGAGUGCUGGAGGGGAUAGCGGAAUUCCUAGUGGAGCGGUAAAAUGCGCAGAUAUUAGGAAGAACACCGGUGGCGAAGGCGGCUAUCUGGACAGUAACUGACGCUGAGGCGCGUAAGCGUGGGGAGCAAACAGGAUUAGAUACCCUGGUAGUCCACGCCGUAAAUGAUGAAUACUAGGUGUAGGGGGUAUCGACUCCCUCUGUGCCGCAGUUAACACGAUAAGUAUUCCGCCUGGGGAGUACGGCCGCAAGGUUGAAACUCAAAUGAAUUGACGGGG
rnacentral:rRNA from 1 species